rnacentral:tRNA from 1 species
GCUGGCGUCCCAAAAUCUGGCUGUUUUCGCCCUCUCACGGCGAAAACAGGGGUUCGAGUCCCCUUGGGAGCGCCA